GAGGUUCCUGCAACUUAUUCUUUUAUUUCUCAAUGCCCCUUGGCAAUCAUUAUUUCACCUGACCGUUUGAUCUUUUCUUUUCAACAUCUGGAAUAUGGGUUCACACGUGGCCGUUAGGCGAGAUGUGAACCAUGACAUGUAGUUCAAUCUACCUAGGAGACCACGAACCUCUCUUUCUGUUCUCGGUUCAGGCACUUCUUGUUUUUCUUUUUUUUUUUUUUUUUAGCAGGAUCAACCUCGAUUCCUCUCUUACAAUGAACUCCAGCAGCUUACCGGCCCGCACUCUGAAAGUGCACUUACUCUGGUUCAACCUCAGUUUGAACUGUCUCAACCGGUCAAACAACUUGGCCAGAUCCACCAGAUGCCCCUCUUCUGUUUGGGACUUUGCUAUCAUGUCAUCAACAUAGCAUUCGAUUUCAUGAUGAAGCAUAUCAUGAAACAAAGUCACCAUGGCUCUCUG
rnacentral:lncRNA from 1 species